AUGUGCUACACAUCUAAUUUUAUCUGUAGUUUCUUUUAAAUGAUCUAAAUUGAGAUGCCUUUGAUAACGAAGAGAUUUACCAACAUUAUAUGCACUCGUGCCUUCAAUGCGGAAUCAAACUGGUUAACCUCGGCACAGUCCUCUCCUUUCUGUGUUUCUGCUGCACUAAUUGCCAGGGGGUGGGAGAGAAGGCAGAUGAAUGAAUUCAUAGUAGAAGGAGGUGAUAGGUGCAGCAAAGAGCAGCCGCAAUAUUGAUUCCACAUUACAAUUUUGUUGCCCCUUGGCAAAAGACAUCACAUUGUGGGAAGAUCUCAGCUUCCAGGGUAAAAGUUAAUUUAUAACUUAAAGUGCUAUUAAGUUUUUAUUACCAAAUAUAUAUUUUAUGGUUUAUAGUGGUAUGUAUGAAACAUUUAAAAUUUUACUGUGGAAAUUGUGUAUAUAUAUAUCUCUAUAGAAGUCGAAAUAGGUGUUCGCAGAUCACAUGUGAAUGGAGAACUGCAUAUGACUGUACAUGAAAUGCAAUAAACCAACUGGAAACAGUGCAUGUGCUUUAUCCUCUCAAGCCAACUCAGCUGAAAAGAGCUGCUUAUCCUUCACCCCCAGAAAAUGCAUGUAUCAAUAUCAGAAUAAAGAACGCACACUUUCAGUUUUAUUGAGGCUUGCAAUACUAAUAGAAGAAUCUGACAUUCUGGAGUUACAAUGACAUUAGAAAAUGAGCAUAACAUUCACUCUGAUUUUAGUCAUUAAGGGAGAUUAGUAAACAGACUGCUACAGUGUUCCACAGUUGGACUGUGCAUCCAAAAUAGUUAUUUUUUUUUGUCUUUAAUGGUACAAUUUUUAUGUAGUUUUUAAAUGUAAGAAAGAAGAAAGAAAUGCUGACCAAAAUCUUGAUUUCAUCAGCUUCGUGAAAAGGACUAGUGUCAUUAACUUGUUGAACAAAGAAUUGGUUUAUUUUAAAAAAUCAUUUCCACUAGUGUGAAACCUUUACGAUUCUUUAACAUCUAAACGUUAUGACUCUUUGUGCCUUAAGUUUUCCAGUCUGUCUUAUUUAUAUCAUCUCCAAGUAACUCUGGCUCCUUUCCUCUUGCUCACUGGAACCUUAGUUUUCCUCAACAGAAUGCUUUGUUAAAGUAGCCCACAGGUGCAGGAUCCAUAGCACCGUCCUACAGACUAGCAGCCGAAAGGUGUGUUUGGUUUGGCUUAUACAGUGUUUUGCCUUUUUAAACUACUUGACAUAAUUUAAAGGUGGCAACACUAGACUUAAAAAGUGAUUGCCCAUAUUAGAAUUUUUUUAAAAAAAGUUUCUUCGCAAAAUCUGCUCUUCCUGAAAGAUCAAAGUGUCUAGAAAGCCCAAACAUGUAUUCUCAUGUAGUAGGCCCCAGCCAAAACUGAGUAAUUCAACUGUCCCCUUGAGCCAAGCAUUCCCUGGUUAGUCACCACCCCACCACUCCUUCCUGUCUCUGGUGUCACACUUGGGCUGUUGGUUUUCUUACUCUUGUCUUGCUUUAAUCCUUCCUCCUCUCCCUGACUCCUGUGGAUCUCUCUGCUUGUCUCCUGGUCCAGGAUGGUGAUCUGACUUUCAAACCAACUUUUCAAAAGGGAUGACGUAAAAUCGGUUUUGAUGUUUUUCCUCCUGAAAAAUCAGAUGAAUAUUUUAGUCACUUAUUCAUGCAUAUUGUAUUUCUUAGUGUUUAAAGAAGGACUUCUAUUAAGUGAGUGGAAGCACUAGACAUUUGGAUUUCCUUCCCAAUGUAAUUUUUAAUGAUUACCUCUUUUAUACAAUAAUUUGUGGUCUUCUUAGAAAGCAGUUAAACUAAUUGACCAUCUAAUAGUUGUACUAUACAUAUAUCUAAAAUAAUAGUCAUGGUAAGUUUGACAUCACAUCUUCCCCAAAAAAUGUUUAUUAAAAUUAGAUUAUUCCAGUUUAAUGCUAUUUUGUGAAGUGUAUAUCUGAAAGUGCUUAUUUUUACAUGCUAUACAACAGUUUCAAUUUUAAAGAAUAUCUCCUAAAAUUGGGAUGAAAAUCUCUAGUCUUUGUUUCUUAAAGUAUGCUAUACUAUAUUCAUUGGUUACUUAACUGGAUAUUAAUAUUAAUAAAGUUAUGACAAAAAAAGAUGAUUAAGAGCAAAAGGAGAAGAAAAUAUUUGCAAGUGAAUCCACAAUUCUUGCAGAACUAUUUGAGUUGAUUAAAGAUUUUAUGAUCACUCCUUUAACUUAGGACUGUCAAGGUUGGGAGUGAUGAAAGUGCCUUGGCUAUGCUUGAAACCUGAAUUUUAGUGCUUCCCUUAUUACAUUUAUUGUUUUAAGUUGGUUUAUAAAAUUAAGACAUACUGGUAGUACAAGUUGAAAGUUGGUUUGAAUACAUUUUAAUUAAAUGAUAUAUGUUAA
ensembl:lncRNA